rnacentral:rRNA from 1 species
GAUGAACGCUAGCGGCAGGCCUAAUACAUGCAAGUCGAGGGGCAGCAGGGAUAGCAAUAUUCGCUGGCGACCGGCGCACGGGUGCGUAACACGUAUACAAUCUGCCUUUAACUGGGGGAUAGCCCGGAGAAAUCCGGAUUAAUACCCCAUAAUACUUGAAAUGGCAUCAUUUUAAGUUGAAAGCUCCGGCGGUUAAAGAUGAGUAUGCGUCUGAUUAGCUAGUUGGUGAGGUAACGGCUCACCAAGGCAACGAUCAGUAGGGGAUCUGAGAGGAUUAACCCCCACACGGAUACUGAGACACGGAUCCGACUCCUACGGGAGGCAGCAGUAAGGAAUAUUGGACAAUGCCCGCAAGGGUGAUCCAGCCAUGCCGCGUGCAGGAAGACGGCCCUAUGGGUUGUAAACUGCUUUACACCGGAGAAAACCCCAGUACGUGUACUGGGCUGAUAGUAUGGUGAGAAUAAGCAUCGGCUAACUUCGUGC